UAGGGAAUCUUCGGCAAUGGGGGGAACCCUGACCGAGCAACGCCGCGUGAGUGAAGAAGGUUUUCGGAUCGUAAAGCUCUGUUGUUAAGGAAGAACGAGUGUGAGAAUGGAAAGUUCAUACUGUGACGGUACUUAACCAGAAAGGGACGGCUAACUACGUGCCAGCAGCCGCGGUAAUACGUAGGUCCCGAGCGUUGUCCGGAUUUAUUGGGCGUAAAGCGGGCGCAGGCGGUUAGAUAAGUCUGAAGUUAAAGGCAGUGGCUCAACCAUUGUAGGCUUUGGAAACUGUUUAACUUGAGUGCAGAAGAGGAGAGUGGAAUUCCAUGUGUAGCGGUGAAAUGCGUAGAUAUAUGGAGGAACACCGGUGGCGAAAGCGGCUCUCUGGUCUGUAACUGACGCGGAGGCUCGAAAGCGUGGGGAGCGAACAGG
rnacentral:rRNA from 1 species